AUGCCCCUUGGGAGCGGCGUGUAACUGCCUGUGCCUAAAGAUUUGGGGCAUCCAGGCACGUGGAGCUAGCAGCAGACCAUGCACCGACUGUUACUCUGUUCUCACUGCUGGGAAUGGCACCACCUCCAGAGGAUCCCAGGCUCAGCUCUUUAGGAAGCGUCGGCACGCCAGCUCUGAGAGUCGGCAUCCCCUAGCUGCUCUGCCAAGGGAAACAUUAUGCCCAUGGAUGCGAUCUCGUCAACUCCCUCAAAAGCAGGCUAACAAGCAAAUUGACCUCCACUGCGCUGGGAGAGGAGCCUUCUCCCACAGGACCGGAGCCUUUCCACACACGAGGGAAGAGAGAUCCCAAGGACAGAACUGAACCUGCAAUACCCAUGGCCUCAUGGCCUCCCCUUCCUUCUUCCUUCUUCACCUCGUCUGUCUGUCUUGGGGGAGGGACAGUUUCUUUGUGGAGUUCAGCAAGCUCCUCAUCCUGCAGCUCAUAAACAGGGUCUACUAACAGGUACAUCAUCCACCUAUGCAACACUUCCAGAAGCUGCCGAGUUUUCAGGAGCCCAUAUCAAUGUGCAGCGUGGCCAUCCAGCACUGAGAAUAAGCACAGGGGCUGCUGGAAAGCUAAGUGGGUUUUAUUUCUCCCUCCCUCCCGAGGAAGACUGUUU